GGCAUUACCUGGCAGGGGAGACACCAUGAUCACAAAGAUGUUUCCCCCGUGCAAGGUUUAUCUGUCGCACUUUGGAUGUGCUGACUGACCCCUGAGACUUCCCCAAAUGCAGGGAUUCAUGAUUUGUGUUGAUGGGGGGCAUGUUCAUGCUCUCGUC
ensembl:snRNA U1 U1 spliceosomal RNA